rnacentral:tRNA from 1 species
GAGAGGCCAGUAGCAAUAAGGACUGCUAAUCCCUAUCUCCGCAGUUAA